GACGAACGCUGGCGGCGUGCUUAACACAUGCAAGUCGAACGAUGAAGAAGAGAAACGCGAACUUCGGUUCAACUUUCACUUCGGAUUAGUGGCAGACGGGUGAGUAACGCGUGAGCAACCUACCUCUUACAAAGGGAUAGCCUCGGGAAACCGUGAUUAAUACCAUAUGACACAUUCAUAAGGCAUCUUAAGAAUGUUAAAGCUACGGCGGUAAGAGAUGGGCUUGCGUCCCAUUAGCUAGUUGGUGAGGUAACGGCCCACCAAGGCGACGAUGGGUAACCGGCCUGAGAGGGUGAACGGUCACAUUGGAACUGAGACACGGUCCAAACUCCUACGGGAGGCAGCAGUGGGGAAUAUUGCACAAUGGAGGGAACUCUGAUGCAGCGACGCCGCGUGAGCGAUGAAGGAAUUCGUUUCGUAAAGCUCUGUUCUAUGGGAAGAAAAGGACUGUACCAUAGGAGAAAGCCCCGGCUAAAUACGUG
rnacentral:rRNA from 1 species